AAAGUCCGAUCGGGAGAACAGACUACACUCCCGUAGCCUGAGAGGCAUCGCGGAACGAAAGUGAACCGAUGAAGCCCUCUGACAAACAUUCUGCAGGAAUGCGGCGAAACUCCAGGUUGUAACGCACAGUGAACGCAGAUGUAGCCUCGUUACACGCAAUUCCGGUGGCUGAGACGGUCGAUAACGCGCGAAAGCAGCAAGAACUGACUGAAAGAGUCUGAAACGGCAGUUCUCACCGGCGGGGUAUUAGCGGC
rfam:Paenibacillus popilliae ATCC 14706 DNA, contig: contig137.